CCCGCCGGACCUGACUGCUAUCGGAUUGAUACUAAGCCAUGCGAGUCUUUGUAGCAAUACAAGGCAGACGGCUCAGUAACACGUAGUCAAUCUAACCUAUGGACGGGGAUAACCUCGGGAAACUGAGAAUAAUACCCGAUAGAUCAUUAUGCCUGGAAUGGCUUAUGGUUGAAAUGAUUUAUCGCCAUAGGAUGGGACUGCGGUCUAUCAGCUUGUUGGUGAGGUAAUGGCCCACCAAGGCUACAACAGAUACGGGCUCUGAGAGGAGAAGCCCGGAGAUGGGUACUGAGACACGGACCCAGGCCCUAUGGGGCGCAGCAGGCGAGAAAACUUUGCAAUGUGCGAAAGCACGACAAGGUUAAUCCGAGUGUUUCCUGCUAAAGGAAUCUUUUGUCAGUCCUAAAAACACUGAUGAAUAAGGGGUGGGCAAGUUCUGGUGUCAGCCGCCGCGGUAAAACCAGCACCUCAAGUGGUCAGGAGGAUUAUUGGGCCUAAAGCAUCCGUAGCCGGCUUUGUAAGUUUUCGGUUAAAUCCAUAUGCUCAACAUAUGGGCUGCCGGGAAUACUGCAAAGCUAGGGAGUGGGAGAGGUAGACGGUACUCGGUAGGAAGGGGUAAAAUCCUUUGAUCUAUUGAUGACCACCUGUGGCGAAGGCGGUCUACUAGAACACGUCCGACGGUGAGGGAUGAAAGCUGGGGGAGCAAACCGGAUUAGAUACCCGGGUAGUCCCAGCUGUAAACAAUGCAAACUCAGUGAUGCACUGGCUUGUGCCAGUGCAGUGCCGCAGGGAAGCCGUUAAGUUUGCCGCCUGGGAAGUACGUACGCAAGUAUGAAACUUAAAGGAAUUGGCGGGGGAGCACCACAA
rnacentral:rRNA from 1 species